AUUAUUAGGUCUUUCCACCUUUCCGUGGAAAGACCUAUUGAAUUUGUUCUGAUUAUUAUUAUUAGGUCUUUCCACCUUUCCGUGGAAAGACCUAUUGAAUUUGUUCUGAUUAUUAUUAUUAUUUUUUUUUUUUUUUUUCUUCCGCUAAUUUUUUUCUUGCGUAUUAUUGAUGUUUCAAAAGAUGUCGCUUAGAUAUUUGGAAUAUGGUAUCGUAUAGUUUAUACGCUUUAAAAAUUUACAACUGUGUAACAAAAUACUUUACGUUGUAAGAGUU
rnacentral:lncRNA from 1 species